AACGAACGCUGGCGGCAUGCUUAACACAUGCAAGUCGAACGGAACCGCCCAGCUUGCUGGGUGCUCGAGUGGCGACCGGGAGAGUCACACGCUGGUGAUCUGACUCUCACUUCGGAAUAAGCUUGGGUAACUGGGAAUGAUACCGGAUAAGACAUUCGUUUCGUUUCGGUUGUGGAACGUUGUUUUGGUUAGGGAUGAGCCUGCGGCCUAUCCGCUUGUUCGUGGGGUAAUGGCCUAGCAAGGCGUAGACGGGUCGCCGGCCUGGGAGGAGGGCCGGCCACAUUGGGACUGAGAUACGGCCCAGACUCCUACGGGAGGGAGCAGAGCGGAAGAGAAUACUAUGGGCUGAAGCCUAAUGCAGUGACGCCGCGUGGGGUAUGACGGGCUGCGGUUAGUAUUCCUCUGUCGUCUUGCACGAAGCGUUAGUGACGGUACCGGGAGAAUAAGCUCCGGCUAACUACGUG
rnacentral:rRNA from 1 species